rnacentral:rRNA from 1 species
UACGUAGGUGGCAAGCGUUGUCCGGAUUUACUGGGCGUAAAGCGAACGCAGGCGGGCCUUUAAGUAGGAAGUGAAAGGUUGGAGCUCAACUCUAACACUGCUCCCUAUACUGGAGGCCUUGAGUGCCGGAGAGGAAGACGGAACUGCAGGUGUAGCGGUGAAAUGCGUUGAUAUCUGCAGGAACACCAAUGGCGAAAGCAGUCUUCUGGACGGAUACUGACGCUCAGGUUCGAAAGCCAAGGUAGCAACAGG